GCCUGCCAGAGAGACAUGAAUUCAUUGUGGCGUUUUCACCCUGUUUUGCUUUCCAUCCUUGUUCACCUGGAUUCAGGUUUAUGUGGAGACCACAUCAUGGUAUAUUCCAGGGCAGGAAGUGACGUCACAAUUCAUUGUGCUAAUGGGACUCUUCCUGGGUGUAGCUCAAUAAACUGGGAGUUCAAAAAAAAUCACAGCAGCAAACAUCUCUUGGUGGUGGACGGCCGUGUCGAACAUGAUACACUCGGAGCUGAGCGACGGAGGCUGGAGCCUGACUGUUCUCUGCACAUUGGUUAUGUCACCGCUGAUGAUGCAGGACAGUACAUCUGUAGAAAAAAUCAGAGAGAAAGUAGUGAAGUUCAUCUUGCUGUGAUCAGUGUUGUCAGCUCCAUUCAUGAGUCUAAGCUGAAGGUUAACGAUACUGUGACCCUUCACUGUCUCCUGCACACAUGUGACUCUACCACCCACUGCAAUGCAUACAAGGAUG